rnacentral:rRNA from 1 species
UACGAAGGGGGCUAGCGUUGCUCGGAAUCACUGGGCGUAAAGGGCGCGUAGGCGGCGCAACAAGUCACUUGUGAAAUCUCCGGGCUUAACCCGGAGCGGCCAAGUGAUACUGUCGUGCUAGAGUGCGGAAGGGGCAAUCGGAAUUCCGCGUGUAGCAGUGAAAUGCGUAGAGAUGCGGAGGAACACCGAUGGCGAAGGCAGCCCCCUGGGCCAAUACUGACGCUCAGGCACGAAAGCGUGGGGAGCAAACAGG